AUUGAACGCUGGCGGCAGGCUUAACACAUGCAAGUCGAGCGGGGUGAUGGUGCUUGCACUAUCACUUAGCGGCGGACGGGUGAGUAAUGCUUAGGAAUCUGCCUAUUAGUGGGGGACAACAUCUCGAAAGGGAUGCUAAUACCGCAUACGUCCUACGGGAGAAAGCAGGGGAUCACUUGUGACCUUGCGCUGAUAGAUGAGCCUAAGUCGGAUUAGCUAGUUGGUGGGGUAAAGGCCUACCAAGGCGACGAUCUGUAGCGGGUCUGAGAGGAUGAUCCGCCACACUGGGACUGAGACACGGACCAGACUCCGACGGGAGGCAGCAGUGGGGAAUAUUGGACAAUGGGGGGAACCCUGAUCCAGCCAUGUCGCGUGUGUGAAGAAGGCCUUAUGGUUGUAAAGCACUUUAAGCGAGGAGGAGGCUCUUUUGGUUAAUACCCAAGAUGAGUGGACGUUACUCGCAGAAUAAGCACCGGCUAACUCUGUGCCAGCAGCCGCAGUAA
rnacentral:rRNA from 1 species